rnacentral:rRNA from 1 species
UACAGGGGGGGCAAGCGUUGUUCGGAAUUACUGGGCGUAAAGGGCCAGUAGGCGGCCAACUAAGUCCGACGUGAAAUCCCCAGGCUUAACCUGGGAACUGCGUCGGAUACUGGAUGGCUUGAAUUCGGGAGAGGGAUGCAGAAUUCCAGGUGUAGCGGUGAAAUGCGUAGAUAUCUGGAGGAACACCGGUGGCGAAGGCGGCAUCCUGGACCACGACUGACGCUGAGGAGCGAAAGCCAGGGGAGCAAACGGG